UGCCUAGCAACUUCUAUCCCUACCUCUUCGUGGUACUGGCCGGGGUACGAGUAACCUUAGGAAAGA
rfam:Aedes aegypti strain Liverpool supercont1.475 genomic scaffold, whole genome shotgun sequence.